GACGAACGCUGGCGGCGUGCUUAACACAUGCAAGUCGAACGCUGAAGCUCAGCUUUUGUUGGGUGGAUGAGUGGCGAACGGGUGAGUAACACGUGAGUAACCUGCCCCCUUCUUUGGGAUAACGCCCGGAAACGGGUGCUAAUACUGGAUAUUCACUGGUCUUCGCAUGGGGGUUGGUGGAAAGGGUUUUUCUGGUGGGGGAUGGGCUCGCGGCCUAUCAGCUUGUUGGUGGGGUGAUGGCCUACCAAGGCUUUGACGGGUAGCCGGCCUGAGAGGGUGACCGGUCACAUUGGGACUGAGAUACGGCCCAGAAUCCUACGGGAGGCAGCAGUGGGGAAUAUUGCACAAUGGGCGCAAGCCUGAUGCAGCGACGCCGCGUGAGGGAUGGAGGCCUUCGGGUUGUGAACCUCUUUCGCUCAUGGUCAAGCCGCAACAAUGGUUGUGGUGAGGGUAGUGGGUAAAGAAGCGCCGGCUAACUACGUG
rnacentral:rRNA from 1 species